rnacentral:lncRNA from 1 species
CUUAUUAUGGUGAAAAAUGUGUUUAGGAUCCUGCCUGGGAACAGCAUGGUUGGUUUUCUCAGUAAAACAUAUUAUUUAAUUAAAUAAAUAAAGCUUCAUUGGUGAUGUAGGUUUAGUUGUCAUUUACUACCUCUUUAGUGACGUUAAACUUUAGCACAAUAACAGCUUGGCGAACAGAGAGAACUGUUUCCACCCACAUGGAUAAAUAUUGAUCUCAGUGAUAAAGAAGAACAAACAUUCUGAUGGAGUGGUAUGAAAGAAAUUGAACCUGAUACAGGAGGUUUAUUUUUACUGCAUAGUAAAAGAAAGUUAGUCUUUCAACUGAGAACAGGGAAGGGCAAGGGGAUGGCUUAUCAAAAUGUUGUUUACAGGAUAAUAAAUACUGUGACUUCAAACUUUAAUGUUUACCCAUUGGCUAUCCACAAAAAAAAAAAAACAAAAAAAACAACAAGAUGACUGAGGUGAAGUUCUGGUCACAGUCAAAUAAAUGGCAGCUUUGCUGCUGACUUCAGUAGGGCCAGAUAUUUCUAGCUGGAGUGCUGUACAAAGGCUCUAAUGCCCCAUGGGGAUCUCCUUUGAGCAAAUUGCUUUCUUAAGUCCUUGAAACUAAGCAUGUGCUUUUCUUCUCUGCUGAACCAGACUUGGAGACUGAUGAGUUUGACAUUUUAUAAAAGUUUGAACUGCUAAAAUACAACAGGUUUGCUUGUGUGUGAGAUUCCUUGGUCCAUUUGGAAGCCCCUUCCACCACCUAGAAGGGCCAGCUUUCUGCAGAGCCUCAUUUGCUUCAGUGAGCUCUGUGUGAGAAAGCAUAGCCAGGGCUAAGCAGUGAUGGAGCAAGUAGGGUAACAUGACCAACACAAGGAGCAAUGCCCCCUUGUCACAUGAGAAGAGUGGAAGCACUAACCUGAGGGUGGUGAAGAGGAUGCAAAUGCAAGCCGUGAUGUCUUCAAAGCCUCCAGAGUCCUUCCAGGGUCCUGCUGGAGAACUCCAUUUCUUGUACACCAAAGGUUGGCUGUGCAAUGCUGCCUCUCCCAGAGCUGAAAAGACCAAUUAUAUGCUGCUUGCUGCUGCUUGA